UUUCCACAAUAAAAUAAAAACUGGAAGGCCGUUAUCUCAUUCUAAAGAUGCAUUUAAGUGGUUUGAUCAAAUAACUGUUCGUUGAGAGAUUAAUAUA